rnacentral:rRNA from 1 species
GACGAACGCUGGCGGCGUGCUUAACACAUGCCAGUCGAACGGUGAGGCCCGGCUUUUGUUGUUUGCUCGAGUGUCGAGCACGUGAGUGACACGUGUGUAUCAUGCCCUUUGCUUUGGGAUAACUUCAUGAAACAGGGGCUCAUACCGGAUAUGAGCUCCUGCGACAUAGUGCGGGUUGUAAAGUUUCGGUGGUUGUGGAUGAACUCGCGGCUUAGCAGCUUGUUGGUGGGUUGGUGGCUUACCAAGGCUUUGACGGGACGCCGGCCUGAGAGGGUGACAGGCCACAUUGGGACUGAGAUACGGCCCAUACGCCUACGGGAGGCAGCAGUGGGGAAUAUACCACACUGCGCGGAAGCCGGAUGCAGCAACGCCGCGUGCUGGAGGACGGCUUUCGGGUUAUAACCCGUGUUCGCCUGGGACGAAGAGUGAGUGACGGUAAUGUGUAAAGAAGCAACGGCUAACUACGUG